rnacentral:other from 4 species
UGAGUCCUGCGAUGUGCGUGUCCGCCGGGAUGUUUUGAGCCAACACCCGAACGAAAGGGAGUCUGCGUCAUUUGAGCUAACAGAAGCCGCCUUCAGAGCGGAACUGUGAACUCAGGUGCAGGACACCCACCUGCGAGAGCAGGUUCAAAACGAACGGAGCACGGCAUAACGGGGCUCCU